rnacentral:rRNA from 1 species
AAUAGAUACCCGGGUAGUCCACCCCGUAAACGUUGGGAACUAGUUGUGGGGUCCUUUCCACGGAUUCCGUGACGCAGCUAACGCAUUAAGUUCCCCGCCUGGGGAGUACGGCCGCAGGGCUAAAACUCAAAGGAAUUGACGGGGACCCGCACAAGCGGCGGAGCAUGCGGAUUAAUUCGAUGCAACGCGAAGAACCUUACCAAGGCUUGACAUACACCGGAAACGGCCAGAGAUGGUCGCCCCGCAAGGUCGGUGUACAGGUGGUGCAUGGUUGUCGUCAGCUCGUGUCGUGAGAUGUUGGGUUAAGUCCCGCAACGAGCGCAACCCUCGUUCUAUGUUGCCAGCAUGUCAUGGUGGGAACUCAUGGGAUACUGCCGGGGUCAACUCGGAGGAAGGUGGGGAUGACGUCAAAUCAUCAUGCCCCUUAUGUCUUGGGCUUCACGCAUGCUACAAUGGCCGGUACAAAGGGCUGCAAUACCGUGAGGUGGAGCGAAUCCCAAAAGCCGGUCCAGUUCGGAUUGAGGUCUGCAACUCGACCUC